rnacentral:rRNA from 1 species
CCUACGGGAGGCAGCAGUGGGGAAUUUUGCGCAAUGCUCGUAAGAGUGACGCAGCGACGCCGCGUGAAUGACGAAGGCCUUCGGGUCGUAAAGUUCUUUCGACAGGGAAGAAAAUGCCUAUAAGUAACUGUGUAUGUAUUGACGGUACCUGUAUAAGCAGCCCCGGCUAACUCCGUGCCAGCAGCCGCGGUAAUACGGAGGGGGCGAGCGUUGUUCGGAGUGACUGGGCAUAAAGAGCACGUAGGCGGUGUUGUAAGUCAUUAGUCAAAGACUAGAGCUCAACUUUAGUAAGGAUAGUGAUACUAUAAUACGAGAGUAUCAGAGAGGAUUGCAGAAGUCCUGGUGUAGCGGUGAAAUGCGUAGAUAUCAGGAGGAAUACCGUUAGCGAAGGCGGCAAUCUGGCUGGAAACUGACGCUGAGGUGCGAAAGCGUGGGUAGCAAACAGGAUUAGAUACCCCAGUAGUC